UACGAAGGGGGCUAGCGUUGUCCGGAAUCAUUGGGCGUAAAGCGCGUGUAGGCGGCCCGGUAAGUCUGGUGUGAAAACUUGAGGCUCAACCUCAAGCUGUCAUCGGAUACUGUCGGGCUUGAGUCUGGAAGAGGAGAGUGGAAUUCCUGGUGUAGCGGUGGAAUGCGCAGAUAUCAGGAGGAACACCUAUGGCGAAGGCAGCUCUCUGGUACAUGACUGACGCUGAGACGCGAAAGCGUGGGUAGCAAACAGG
rnacentral:rRNA from 1 species